rnacentral:rRNA from 1 species
AACGAACGCUGGCGGCAUGCCUAACACAUGCAAGUCGAACGAGAUCUUCGGGUCUAGUGGCGCACGGGUGCGUAACGCGUGGGAAUCUGCCCUAUGGUUCGGAAUAACAGUUGGAAACGACUGCUAAUACCGGAUGAUGACGAAAGUCCAAAGAUUUAUCGCCAGAAGAUGAGCCCGCGUAGGAUUAGCUAGUUGGUGUGGUAAAGGCGCACCAAGGCGACGAUCCUUAGCUGGUCUGAGAGGAUGAUCAGCCACACUGGGACUGAGACACGGCCCAGACUCCUACGGGAGGCAGCAGUGGGGAAUAUUGGACAAUGGGCGAAGGCCUGAUCCAGCAAUGCCGCGUGAGUGAUGAAGGCCUUAGGGUUGUAAAGCUCUUUUACCCGGGAUGAUAAUGACAGUACCGGGAGAAUAAGCUCCGGCUAACUCCGUGCCAGCCGCCGCGGUAA